UCUUAUUUCUGAUGUAUAUGGAAAGUGGCCGACAAAGUCGCAGCUGCUGGAUUCUUUGUGGCCGUUCCUGACUUCUUGAAGGGGGAUCCUUUUGUUCGUGCAGAUACUAAAAGGCCUAUGAGCGUUUGGAUUAAAGAUCAUAGCACGCCAAGGCUGCAAUUCAACUCGCAAAGUGCGACUCUAUUAAGGCUGCUGCCCUCUUACAUCUAUCUUACGUCACUGUGGAUGACAUCAAAGGUUCAGAUCACUUCCAGGACUUGUCAACCAGACCCAAAGGGAUAUCAUAGAAUGUGAGAAUUUUGUCUUCUGGACAAGUGCACAAAGAAUGAUGAAUUGAAGGAUGGAGCAAGUUUCAUGCAUGGUUUACUUUUGUGUAUCUUGUAAUGUUUUUGUUUUUCAUUUUUGAAGUAAAAAAUGUUCAAGAAACUUUAUUAUGUUAUGCUUUCAAACUUAAGUUAGAACUAAGAUCUCAUGAAGUAGACAUAUUCAUGGUUUGAAUUAGUUAUUGUUUAAUGUAAUACUUAUGGUUUAUCAAUAUAUUGAGAAUUACAUUUUAU